rnacentral:lncRNA from 1 species
CGCAGACUCUCCUAGUCGAGUCGUGAGGGUCACGGUUAUAACCGUCGACUCGAGGCCGGAAUCCGUGAGAAUCCACGCGCAAGAAAGACGCCGUCGAAACUUCACCUUCUUCGUCUACGCUGGUUGAUUCUCAUUUCCCCAUCGAGCAUUCAAAGCGUGUGGCACUCGCUCGGCUGUGAUCAGCGUCGCUCUGUCGUCCAAAUCCCUGGCUUCCCGGCGCAUUCACAACCGCCGUUCUCAGUCGGAAGACGCCGUAUAAACAGCGCUCAGCGGCGGAACUGAACGGAUCGUUCCUGGUGCCGCGUUUGUCGUGCGUGUGGGAGACGUCCAGGACGCGAUUGCCCAAGAACUAGCCACCUUCCUGGGCCGACGAGCACCUAUCGACGAAGUCAGGACGCGCCUCGUCCGACGGGCCGCCCACCGGCUGGCCCCAAGCACGGUCACCGUUGAGAGGCCACGGUGAAGAGCUCGUCGUUCGACAGGGCGGCACCCUUCGUGGCCUCCGGAUCGGCCGUGGAGGUCCGCCCAGCCAGUACCAGUCUGUGCUUUCAUGGGACUAAGCCAGAUGGAGCGCCACUUUCCCGCUGACCUUUGACUUCGGUCUUGUUCAGCCCAGUCCUUAAAUAGGUGAGCCGUAUCGGAGGCCGGGAAAAGCGCAGGCUUGUGCUCACGGCGUUGACGAGAGCGCCCAGAGCGCAGGCGACGGUAGACGACGUCCGCGGAUGCACCCAGUAUGACGCCAGUGCGCGGACGACGACGACGACCUUACACGGAUCGCUUCAUCUGAGCCAGAAAGAGCGCGCCGGGAGAGGGCCUUGAGCAAGCCGGACGACGCGGGUGGUGGUGUGCGACUGCAGCGAACCCCAGAGGCUGUAGAGG